rnacentral:lncRNA from 1 species
UGUUUCAUAUCGUCAUACUUCAAAAACAAGACAUUGUUUGGUCUCUUCAAGCUCUCAUUCCAAUACCCUAACAUAUGCUCCCAAAAUGGACCGAACCCAAUGACACCAUCACAAUACAUUUUGAAUGCUUCCUCUAGUGAAAUUUCAGGUAAUCCUUGAGACCUCAAUUUGUUAAGAAAAUGCCAUGAAGAGAUGAAAGUAUCAAAAGGGUUUCUGCAAAUAUAAACAAUCUUAAUGUUGUUCAUUGAAGGAAGCAAAUUUAAGGAAGCAAAUGGAAUAUGGGUGGCAAAAACUCUAGGCUCAUCAGCAAUUUGAGAAAGCUCAGGAAUUUGGUUAUUUGCAUAGAGCUUGUAUUCAAGAAAAGGAACAAGAUCAUGAGGAUUGGAAGUAAGCAGGGGGUGAGGAUGACCGUGAUGAUCACUAAUUAUGGGGAAAUUCUUGCGAUUGAUUAUUGCAAAAGACAAUGCUUUCAUCCAAGUGGUGCCUGAUUUUGGUAUGCUGGCUAAAAUGAUAUCAGUGUCUUUUGCUUUGAAGUGCUUUUGGAAAGCCAUUAUGGCUUGAAUCUCCCUUGCCUGGCACCAAUACCCCUGGAACUGAUAAAGAAAAGCCGUUCGCC